rnacentral:sRNA from 1 species
AAUAUUUUUAACUAGUUGUUUACCUUUUGUGCAAUAUGUUUGUUUACAAAGAAACAAAUUGAACAAAAAAAAAGAAAUUUUGAAACAAAUAGAACAAGAAAAUAGAAUUUUGAGAGAGUUUUUUUUUUGUAUUUUCGUUUCAAAUGCUAAGAUGGUAGAGAUUUUUUAGGUGAGAUCUAAGAUGGUGUAGAUACGAGAUGUUUAUAGUGGAGUUACUUCUCUUUUAUAAAGAAAAUAAAGAAAUAAAAGAAAAUAAAAAUUAAUAAAAAAAGAAAAAUCUGACUGGUUUACUAAACCCAAUCCACUUUUCGACCAGCUCAUCCACUCUUUUCUUGUGCAUGGUUCUGUCCAUACGGCGGACCUUCUUUAUUACAGUCCACUUUUACCUUUUUAGUUUUUUAAUUUUUUUUUAUUUUGUUCACUGUAAUAAGGACAAAAGCUGAAUGGUAAAUAAAUUUUUGACGAAAACACAGAAAACUACUUCGUCUGUAGCUCCCAUUCAUGCCCUAAGGUUUUGAAUGGUUACAGCGGUCCAAGCAGACAAAACUGUCUACAGAGUGAACCGCUUUUUAUUCACCAUUCACAAACAAAAUGGAUGGUAAAUAAAACGCAGUUCAGUCGGUAGACGGUUUUGUCCGCUUGGACCGCUGUAGCCAUUAAAAGCCUAUAACAAUUAUGUGGUUAUGAUUGUCCGUUGUGCAGACAUAGAUUAUAGCGGUUAGGGUAAACCGGUUAUUUACUUGUAUAAUUUGAAAACCAAUUAUUUACCAAAAUCUUCUUCUUCCUUAACCAAAUCAUUCGAAAUUUAGAAAUUUGGAAUUAAGGUUUUGAUCCCUGAGUUAUGCCGCCGAAGCGUAAAGAUAUAAACUUUCUUUUUGAUGACGGAGAAGAUACAGUUGCCAUUAUAGAUGAUGAAGCUAAUGAAGAUCUAAGAUUGAAGAUAUUAGAGAAAGCUUUUUCGAGGCGUAAUGUUGAUAACAAGCUUGAUUCUGAUCUCUCCUUCGAUCCUGGUGUAGUUAGUACUGUGAUGGUUAAUGGAGGAAAGUCGGAGGAAGUUAAAAACUCUAAGAGUAAUAAGAAGAUGAAGAGAAAUAAGCUUGAAGCUGCCAAUGAAAUUGUAAGUAUGACCAAUUCUCUGCUUUAUCUUCUUCUCAUUACAGUUUCCAGUUUUUGUAGUCUUAAUUGCUCCAUUAUUGCCUCACUUAUGUUCUUCUUGCUCUGAAUGUUGUCUGUGAAUUGCAAUUUGAUAUUUGUUUAGGAAACUUUGUUGCCUUGUGUUUUAAUGCUUUUCGAUUUUUCCUAUAUUGUUCAGCCCAUUGUGUGGAAAGACAAGAUGAGGAUAACAUGGUGGAGGAUGUAGUAAGAGGUGAAGAAGAAGAUGGAGAAACAACUAGCAAUUCGGUUAUGACAAAGCUUCUUGUGAGUUGAUUGAAACGUUUCUUUUAGUCUUAUCUCAAAACCGUGUAACUUGUCCUGUGAUGAUGAUGACCAUUUUUGGGGUCUUGUUGUUGUUAUCAGCGUGGAGCAAGAUACUUUGACCCUCUUGAUGCUGGUUGGGUAACUUGUUAUAGCUGUGGGGAGAAAGAUCAUAUAACUGUUAGUUGUCCAACUCUUACCAAUUGUAGGAAGUCGUGCUUUAUAUGCGCUAGUUUGGAGCAUGGUGCAAGACAGUGUACAAAGGUAUGGUCUUAAGUUUGAUGGUAGUACUUAAUAUGUCCAACUCACUCCAUAAAGCUCAUGUAUAAAGCUUGCACAAGUGUUUUAUGUGGUUACCAUGGAAGAUUUAGGAUGAGUGAUCUUUUUUCUAAGUAGAUUUUUCCUUAUUUCUAACAGGGACAUUGAUGCAAACCUCGGAAUCCACCAAGACAAGACUCAAAGAUUCAAAGGUAAACUAUGCGGAAGUGGUGAUGAUGAUGAAGUAACCGAUUUGAUGUUGAAUCCACAACACCGAGGGCUAGAGAAUAUGAUCCAAGGGCUAUUCCUCGCGAGGAUCAGAGACUACACGAAACCUAAGUGGUUUGAUUCCACAAACUACCUAGAACUCGCAAGAACAAUGAUUUGAUUCAAGACGAAGUAUUGAAGCAAAACAAACUGAAUAUCUUAUUAUCAAA